rnacentral:rRNA from 1 species
AUGAAUGGUUUAACAAGAAUACACCUGUCUCUUUUAGAUUAUUUAGAAUUUUAUUUUUGGAUGAAAAAGUCCAGAUACCAUUAAAAGACAAGAAGACCCUAUCGAGCUUUAGAGAAGUUAGUAGACCUAAUAUAAUCAAUAUAAGUAAAAGAAAAGCUAUUAAAUACUUUGGUUGGGGCAACCGAGGAACAAAUAAAGCUUCCUCUAAAUUAUAAAUCCUACUUGUGUUGAUCCAAGGAAUUUUGAUUAAAGGAAUUAGUUACCGUAGGGAUAACAGCAUUAUCUUUUUCAAGAGCCCAUAUCGAAAAAAAGGUUUGUGACCUCGAUGUUGGACCAGAAUAUCCUAAAGAUGCAGAAGUCUUUAAGGGUUGGUCUGUUCGACCAUUAAAAUUCUACGUGAUCUGAGUUCAGACCGGCGUGAGCCAGGUCAGUUUCUAUCUUUAUAUUUCUUGGUUGCGUUUAGUACGAAAGGACCGAUGUAAUGUAUAAAAUAUUUUAAUUAGAUUGAAUAUAAUUCAACUUUAAA